UACGGAGGGUGCAAGCGUUAUCCGGAUUCACUGGGUUUAAAGGGUGCGUAGGCGGUUCGAUAAGUCAGUGGUGAAAGCUCGCAGCUUAACUGUGAAACUGCCAUUGAAACUGCCGAACUUGAGUACGAUUGAUGUGGGCGGAAUACGUCAUGUAGCGGUGAAAUGCUUAGAUAUGAUGUAGAACACCGAUUGCGAAGGCAGCUCACAAAAUCGCCACUGACGCUGAGGCACGAAAGCGUGGGGAGCAAACAGG
rnacentral:rRNA from 1 species